GGUUUGAUUUCUGGCUCAGAUUGAACGCUGGCGGGAUGCUUUACACAUGCAAGUCGAACGGCAGCACGGACUUCGGUCUGGUGGCGCAGGGCGAACGGGUGAGGGCCGUAUCGGAACGUGCCUAGUAGCGGGGGAUAACUACGCGAAAGGGUAGCUAAUACCGCAUACCCUUCGGGGAAAGCGGGGACCUGCCUCGCACUAUUAGAGCGGCCGAUAUCGGAUUAGCUAGUUGGUGGGUAACGGCUCACCAAGGCGACGAUCCGUAGCUGGUUUGAGAGGACGACCAGCCACACUGGGACUGGAGAUUAUCACCCAGACUCCUACGGAGGCAGCAGUGGGGAAUUUUGGACACGGGGAAACCUGGAUCCAGCCAUCCCCGCGUGUGCGAUGAAGGCCUUCGGGUUGUAAAGCACUUUUUGGCAGGGAAAGAAACGGCACGGGAUAAUACCCCGUGCAACUGACGGUACCUGCAGCAUAAGCACCGGCUAACGCCAGCUGCGCCAGCAGCCAUGUAAUACGUAGGUGUUGUUAGACCGGAAUUACUGGGCGUAAAGCGUGCGCAGGCGGUUCGGAAGAAAGAUGUGAAAUCCCAGAGCUUAACUUUGGAACUGCAUUUUUUAACUACCGAGCUAGAGUGUGUCAGGAGUGGAGUGUAAUUCUGCGUGUAGCAGUGAAAUGCAGAUAUGCGGAGGAACACCGAUGGCGAAGGCAGCCUCCUGGGAUAACACUGACGCUCAUGCACGAAAGCGUGGGGAGCAAACAGGAUUAGGAUAAUUCUGGUAGUCCACGCCCUAAACGAUAUCAACUAGCUGUUGGGGCCUUCGGGCCUUUGGUAUGCAGCUAACGCGUGAAGUUGACCGCCUGGGGAGUACGGUCGCAAGAUUAAAAAACUCAAAGCGGAAUUGACGGGGACUCGCACAAGCGGUAGAUGACGGAUUAAUUCGAUGCAACGCGAAAAACCUUACCUACCCUUGACAUGUCUGGAAUCCUUAUGAGAUUUGGGAGUACUGCAAGAGAACCGGAAACACAGGUGCUGCAUGGCCGCCGCCUGUGUCGAGAUGUUGGGUUAAGUCCCGGCAACGAGCGCAACCCUUGUCAUUAGUUGCUACGAAAGGGCACUCUAAUGAGACUGCCGGUGACAAACCGGAGGAAGGUGGGAUGACGCUGUCCCUCAUGGCUCCCAGGGUAGGGCUUCAAGCACGUCAUACAAUGGUCGGGACAGAGGGUCGCCAACCUGCGAGGGGGAGCCAAUCCCAGAAACCCGAUCGUAGUCCGAUCGCAGUCUGCAACUCGACUGCGUGAAGUCGGAAUCGCUAGUACUCGCGGAUCAGCAUGUCGCGGUGAAUACGUUCCCGGGUCUUGUACACACCGCCCGUCACACCAUGGAGUGGGUUUUACCAGAAGUGGUUAGCCUUAACCGUAAGGAGUGGCGAUUACCACGGUAGGAUUCAUGACUGGGGUGAAGUCGUAACAAGGUAGCUCUGUUACUACCUGAUAUUGGUUAUUGCAACUGAAACGGGCGGCCACU
rnacentral:rRNA from 1 species